UGAAUACGAGAUGCUACGGCGUCGAAGCAGUCUAUGUCAUACUUCCAAGAAAAGCUCGCACUGUCAUAAACAAAUAAUGCCUGUACCAUAACCGACACAGGUGGGUAGGUAGAGUAUACUAAGGGGCGCGAGAUAACUCUCUCUAAGGAACUCGGCAAAAUGACUCCGUAACUUCGGGAGAAGGAGUGCCUUAUUUAUAAGGUUGCAAUAACAAGAUCCAAGCAACUGUUUAUCAAAAACACAGGUCUCCGCUAAGUCGUAAGACGAUGUAUGGGGGCUGACGCCUGCCCAGUGCCAGAAGGUUAAAGAAGUUGGUUAGCAUUCGCGAAGCUGAUAACUGAAGCCCUGGUGAACGGCGGCCGUAACGAUAACGGUCCUAAGGUAGCGAAAUUCCUUGUCGGGUAAGUUCCGACCCGCACGAAAGGCGUAAUGAUUUGGAUACUGUCUCGGAGAGGGGCUCGGUGAAAUAGACUUGUCUGUGAAGAUGCGGACUACCUGCACCAGGACAGAAAGACCCUAUGAAGCUUUACUGUAACUUGAGAUUGAAAUUGGACUUUACUUGCGCAGUAUAGGUGGGAGGCGUUGAUAAUAUUCUUGCGGGAUUAUUUGAGCCAUCAGUGAGAUACCACUCUUGUAAUGUUAGAUUUCUAACUUUGUAUCAUUAUCUGGUCAAAGGACAGUUUCAGGCGGGCAGUUUGACUGGGGCGGUCGCCUCCUAAACGGUAACGGAGGCGCACAAAGGUUUCCUCUGAACGGGUAGAAAUCGUAUCUAGAGUGUAAAGGCAUAAGGAAGCUUGACUGUGAGACCUACAAGUCGAGCAGGGACGAAAGUCGGUCUUAGUGAUCUGACGGUGCUGAGUGGAAAGGCCGUCACUCAACGGAUAAAAGUUACUCUAGGAUAACAGGCUGAUCUCCCCCAAGAGUUCACAUCGACGGGGAGGUUUGGCACCUCGAUGUCGGCUCAUCGCAUCCUGGGGCGGUAGUACGUCCCAAGGGUUGGGCUGUUCGCCCAUGAAAGCGGUACGCGAGCUGGGUUCAGAACGUCGUGAGACAGUUCGGUCCAUAUCCGGUGUAGGCGUUAGAAUAUUGAGAGGAGCCUUCUUUAGUACGAGAGGACCGAGAAGGACAUACCUCUGGUGUACCAGUUAUCGUGCCAACGGUAAACGCUGGGUAGCUAUGUAUGGAGUGGAUAACCGCUGAAAGCAUCUAAGUGGGAAGCCCACCUCAAGAUAAGUAUUCU
rnacentral:rRNA from 1 species